UAUUGGACAAUGGGCGAAAGCCUGAUCCAGCAAUGCCGCGUGAGUGAUGAAGGCCUUAGGGUUGUAAAGCUCUUUUACCCGGGAUGAUAAUGACAGUACCGGGAGAAUAAGCUCCGGCUAACUCCGUGCCAGCAGCCGCGGUAAUACGGAGGGAGCUAGCGUUGUUCGGAAUUACUGGGCGUAAAGCGCACGUAGGCGGCUUUGUAAGUUAGAGGUGAAAGCCUGGAGCUCAACUCCAGAACUGCCUUUGAAACUAGGUCGCUAGAAUCUGGGAGAGGUGAGUGGAAUUCCGAGUGUAGAGGUGAAAUUCGUAGAUAUUCGGAAGAACACCAGUGGCGAAGGCGGCUCACUGGCCAGAAUUGACGCUGAGGCGCGA
rnacentral:rRNA from 1 species